UUGUCUCAUACUUGUGGUAUAAUUAAUAAGAUUACGCGGAAAGGAAUUAGCAUCCAGAAAGUGAAGCUGCAAAGGUAAAGGGUAAAGGUGAAGCCACUGACAGAGUGAUAAGCCAUUAAAAAUUGUUCGAGCCCAAACAAAGAUCCCCACUAGGAACAACUUUGUUUGUUUGGUCUGCGUUCUCAGCCUCAGGCCUUACCUAUAAAAUCAUCAUCUUUCGGCGACUUCGGUGUUUGGUGUGUCAGCUGAUUCUUGCAAUGUGUUUGUUUGAUCAAGCUGAUUCUUGCAAAUCUUAUAUCCUCAAUUGGUAACUGUGAGCAGCUGAAUCUCAAUCAACACCAAGACAUGGAGGUCAUUUUAGAUAAAAAAUAUGCUGGUGAUUGGAUUUACAGAGGCGAAGGCGCCGCCAAUCUUGUUCUCGGUUACAGCGGAUCCAUCCCCGCUUUUAUUGGGAAAGUAAUGCGUCUACAGAAAGCUCCGGUUAAUGGGUCAAAGUCCAUGAACAGUCCCACUGCAUUAACCGUGCAUGAACGUCUUCUGUGGAAGAACGCGGAGGACAUUGUAGCUACCUCUAACAAAGAACUUGCUUGUCAACUGUUUGUGAAGCACAUCAUGAGCCCUCUAUUGGGUUCCACAUAUGUUGAUUCCGGAAUGCGUGUCCCUGCUUCCAAGGAAUUCUUGGAGUCGGUUGAGAAGAACAUAAUUUCUCAGCGUCCUGCUUCUCGAGUUGACGCUGCUAAAGUUGACACACAAUGUGAUUCUGUGCUUCUCAUGUCUGAUCAUUCUCUUUUUCCUCGUGGUACUCAUGAAGUUGAACCCUGUAUAUCUGUGGAGAUAAAGCCAAAAUGUGGAUUUCUGCCAUCUUCAAAGUUCAUUGAUGAAGGAAAUGCCAUUAAACGGAGCAUUACUCGUUUUCAGAUGCAUCAAGCUCUGAAGUUGCAUCAAGAAGAGGUAUCAGAAUAUAGUGAAUAUAAUCCACUUGAUAUGUUCUCUGGAUCCAAGGACAGAAUACAUAAAGCUAUCAGGGAUCUCUUCUCAACCCCGCAGAAUAACUUCCGUGUGUUCUUGAAUGGUUCUCAAAUAUUUGGGGGCUUAGGUGGUGGUGCAGACAGUACCAAUUUUGUGACUCGAGGAAAAUUUGAAGAUGCACUCAAGUGUGUCAUUCAGGGAGGUGAUGGCUUGCGCACAAUGAGUUUUCUACAGCUUGUUGCUGAAACAGUUCAUAAUUCUGGAGUGUUGGAUCGGCUCCUUGAGGUCCAGAAACUUGAUAACCUUGACAUUGAUGGGGCUAUCCAUGCAUAUUAUGACAUUGUUUCGGAGCCUUGCAUGGUAUGCAGAGCAUUCAGUAAAGAAAAAAUGUCACAGAGAUAUCUUUCAUUGCAUUCCAUCUCUUUGGAUGAAAGCUUGAAGAUUGUGAAGGACUUUUUGAUAGCUGCUACUGCGAAGGACUGCAGUUUGAUGAUUAGUUUUAGACCAAAGAAAGAUGGGAAUACAGGAUCUCCAUAUAAUAAUUUGUAUCUAGAAUCAAGCAACCAAUUUUUUGAUUACAAGGUGAAUUUCAUUGACCUGGAUUUGAAACAAUUGAAGAAAAUGGAAGAAUAUUAUGAGUUGGACAAAAAAAUAGUAACCUACUACAAUCGAAUGGUGGAAACUGAGGAAAGACAAAAGAAAAAUACAAGCACAAUGGCUCUUAAAACUGCAAAUUGAGAUUUGUUACAGUGCCAUGGAGGAUACUUUACUUCAAAUUAUGAGGAAAGUGAUGUAUCAACUAACUUCAGUGUGAUUCCAUCAAAGCCCACAUGGCCUAUUAAUUCAGACAGUUGGGAUUUCACAUUGUGGUAUUAGUACUACUAUAGAAAAGAAGAAAAAAAGACCAGGACAUCCUUGGUAUUUUCUAAUUGAAAAUGCGUCUGCUUUAGCAACAGUAUUUUAGGGAAUCAAUGAAUUAUCUAAGUUUGAAGAAGCGAUUUCUUGCAUAGGCAUUAAUCUAAAUUUCCAGUUUUCUCAUCAAAAUUAUUUUGCGCUUGCUUUAUGCUUCCUUAUAGUUCAUAUUUUUCAAGUUUUCCAUUGUUGGUGCAGAUUUAUAUUUUGAUAUCCUUUAAUAAAUUGUCAGGUAAACAUAAGGUUCUUACAGUUUUGAACAAUGGAACCAAACACAUUUUGUUUUGAGCAGUAACUUAUGACAUUUUCCACUUCUGUCUGAUGUACAAAGUGUGAUUUGGAGUUCUUUUUUGUAACUACAUUGCCAAACCACGAACAUUCGAAAGAAAUGAUUUGGAAGAAUCAAUGAGCCUGAUGCUAAAAUAUGUUUCUAGGCCAGUGGUAAGACUAAUAUGGAAGGCUCUGUGAACUCUGGUUUGUUCAGCUUUGGUAUUUUGAUCAGCAUAUAUGUGGAAUAUAAAGGCCGUGGGUUGGCUACAUCAUGUGCUGAAUGAUGAGCUCCUGAGCUGUGUAUAGGUCUCUCUCUCUCUCUCUCUCUCUCUCUCUCUCUCUCUCUCUCUGUGUUUGUGUGUGUGGAUCUAAUCCUGUUAAAGUUGAUGAUUCAAGUACGGAGAAGAAGGAAUUAAUACGUUCCAGAAGUGGGUCAAGUUUGCCCAUUCAACUGACCCCACUAGAGCUGAAUUGAUAAAGUGAUUGCCAUCCCAACACAUUGCGUAAUGUCAGGUCUUCAUUAUUUUCUUGGAGACAUCCUGAGCUAAAACCUCAUUUGUUGAAAACGGUAGUGUCAGUGGAACUUCUGUGUUCAAAGUGCAGGAAGAAGGUGAUGAAGUUAAUAGCAACAGUAGAAGGGAUAACUUCCAUUGUCCUGGACCCGUCAAAAAAUACGGUGACAGUAACUGGGGAAGCCGAUCCAGUAAAGGUUAUCAAGAAGGUAAGAAAAUACAGAAAAUCUGCUUCCGUUGUGAGUAUAGGUCCACCACAGAGUGAGAAGAAGGAUGAGAAGAAGGAUGAGAAGAAAGACCUUGUCCCAUACCCACCAAAGACAUGUCAGAGAUGCGAUGUCUGGUAUGUGAUUGCUGAAGAUCGUUACAAUUAUUGUUCCAUAAUGUAAUUACUGUUCCAUAAUGUAUCAUCCUGAAACUUGUAUGAAUAAUACCCAGUUGUAUUUCAUGUUAAA